rnacentral:lncRNA from 1 species
GCAGGACGAUGGUCAAGAUUUAGUGUUAGCUGGAGCCCACAUGGAACCCCUGAAACUUGCGCAGCCAGGAAGGAGGUGGAUACGCAAGUUGCCAGCAUAAAAACACAGAGCAAAGACUAAACUCUUCUCUUGAACUCUUGCAAAAUUAAGUAAGACGAUAUGUAACAGAGCCUACAACACUAUACAAAUUUAAGAAGGUCAAGUUCAGAAAAGAUCUCAUUUGCAAUGAGAGAAGGAGAAGAAUAUUCAGUGUAAUAUCUGCUCAUGCUGCCGUCUCAGCUGAAACAUCAUUUCUUCAGGGACGCCUUGACCACCCUAGACUGAGUCUCUUCUGCCAUUUAUGCUCUCAGCAUCCCGAUGCUUUCCCAAGACUAUGAUUAAAUAAUCGUGUUAUGACCUGUGUAACGGUCUGCUUUCCCCAGAUAGGACACAAGAGCUGACUCCUUUUACUUCCCCCCACCAGACAGCAACAGCAUGCAGGAACUUCCUGUCCUGUCUGGAACUCAGUAGGUGCUUAAUAAUUAUUUGAUGAAUGAAUACUUGAGGCAGCUGUCCCACAGGAAUUUAGGAUUUUUCUGAUCCAGAUGA